rfam:Myxococcales bacterium 68-20 scnpilot_expt_750_bf_scaffold_111, whole genome shotgun sequence.
GCGGGGCCCGUCAUCUGGUGAUGACGCCUGCCUCACAAGCAGGAGAAGGAGAGUUCGAUCCUCUCGCCCCGUA